CAGGCUAGGGGUCUCAUUGGAGCUACAGCUGUCAGCCCAUGCCACAGCCACAGCAAUGCGGGAUCCGAGUGGCGUCUGCGACCUACACCGCAGCUCAUGCACCGCUGGAUCCUUAACCCACUGAGUGAGGCCAGGGAUCGAACCGGCAACCUUAUGGUUCCUAGUCGGAUUCGUUUCCACUGUACCACGACAGGAACUCCCCUCUUCUCUUUUAAAGAAUGAAAUUUAUUUAUUACCCAGAGCUGGUUGGCUUCUGUUUAUGUUAGUAAGAGCUGCUAGUUGCUGAUUUACUGCGUGUCGAGCCUUUUAGGUACAUUAUCUCAUUUAGGUCUCACAACAAGCUAGUUUCCCUCCCAGCCGUUUCCUGGCUUUUAACUUAACCUCAUUGAGUCUAUAGCCUGUAAACUGGGCAUAGUAAUAAUAAUAGUAAUAUCUAAAAGAGCUGGGUGAGAUAUAAAUGAGAAGACAAGUGUACAUAAAAUCACCCAGGACUCAAUGAACAGGUCCUCCAUGUCUGUCUUUGUUGCAAGCCAGCGGGACGUGGAGAAACCACAGACGUCCGCCACAGGAGCAGAGACCUGAGACCCUCCUCCCGGCUAAGAGCCUUAGUAACUCACUUCUCCUGGGACCCCUCCUCCAAAGCACGGGGAGAGGACGAAGCAUAAAGACCCUAAAGAACUGUAAUCGCAGCUAGAAUUUUGCCAAGAUUCCCUCCGCCUUUUUUUUUUGGUUUUCAGGUGGGAUAGCUGACAUUUGCUUCAUUUGCUGGGACCAGAGCUCUGAGGAAUCCUUAUGGCCACUCCCAAGUGGCCAGGCCGGUAUUUAAAAAACAGUGAAGAAACACCAAAACAGGACUUUAGCAACAGGUGUUUAAAAUGUACACAUUGUUCACAUUAAUGCUUUUAGUGCGUACAUGUUCCGUGCCUGUAGAGUUAUCUUGAGAUGACUUUGAAAGUCUGAGUUUGAGGUCCCCCCUUCUGGACGGCCUCCUCAAGCAUCCGGCAGACUGACUCUUAACAUUUUUGACUACGUAAUAGGAGGCCUUUCAUCCUACCCUCCCUCCUGCCUUCCUUCCAAGUUUGCUUCUAGACAAGUGUGGGGCAAGUUCAGAGGAACCAGGAAAGUGAUGAGUGAUUUUCGAUCUUCGGGGAUUCCAAUUCCGUGUACGUUUGCCACGUGAUGUUGAGCAAACAAGGAUGUUUUCUUUUCUUUUCUCUUCUUUCUCCCUCCCUCUCUCUCUCUCUCUCUCUCUCUUUCUUUCCUUUUCUUUUUCUUUUCUUUCUUUCUUCUUUCUUUCUUUCUUUCUUUCUUUCUUUCUUUCUUUCUUCUUCUUUUUCUUUCUUCUUUCUUCCUUUCUUCUUUCUUUUUUUCUUUCUUCCUUUCUUCCUUUCCUUUCCUUUCCUUUCCUUCCUUCCCUUCCUUCCUUCCUUCCUUCCCGUUCCUUCCUUCCUUUGUUCCUCCCUUCCUUCCUUCCAUCCUUUUAGGGCUGCGCCUGCAGCAUAUGGAAGUUCCUGGGCUAGGGGUCGAAUCAGAGCUGCAUCUACUGGCCUACACCACAGCCACAGCAACACCAGAUCCAAGCCAUAUCUGCAGCUUGCUGUCACUUGCGGCAACGCCAGAUCCUUAAUCCACUGAGUAAGGCCAGGAUUGGAACCUGCAUCCUUAUGAAUACUAGUUGGGUUCCUAACCAGCUGAGCCACAGUGUAUCACUCCCCAACUCCUUCAAAUCUUUAAUGUAGGUAACAACUGCGUUCCACACAAAAGUGCAACAUGUGAGAUGCCUAAGCUCUAGCGGCCCUAGGG
rnacentral:lncRNA from 1 species